rnacentral:rRNA from 1 species
GCCUCCUGACUAACCAUAAGAGGUCCAGCCUGCCCAGUGACAUUGUUCAACGGCCGCGGUAUCCUAACCGUGCGAAGGUAGCGUAAUCACUUGUUCUUUAAAUGAGGACUAGUAUGAAUGGCUUCACGAAAGCUAUACUGUCUCCCUUAUCUAAUCAGUUAAACUAAUCUCCCCGUGAAGAAGCGGGGAUUAACCUAUAAGACGAGAAGACCCUAUGGAGCUUUAAACAUCUUAAAACAUUUGAAUUUUAUAUUAUUAUCUUCAGAGAACUUAACUAAGCCCAUCACUUUGUUUUAAGUUUUAGGUUGGGGUGACCACGGAGAUAGCCUAACCUCCACGUAGAAUGAAACUUCCUUCUAAGCAAAAAGCUACACCUUUAUGCAUCAAAAUAUUGACCUAAAUUGACCCAAUUACUUGAUCAACGAACCAAGUUACCCU